UACCUGUCGGAAAUGGAUUGUCGCGUUAUGCACUGGUGGUAGAUGAGUUUGGUAACAGAAAACAUCGUUUUGAAACGUCCUAAAUUGUCCCGUGCCCUAGGAAGGAAAAAAACGAAAAGAAGAAGAAAAAAAAACUUCACAGAAAAAGAGAUGUAUUAUGGAGACAUAUAAAUCCCACCCCAGGGCCUUCUGCAACACCACAAAGUGCUCUUCCUGUUGCCUCCACCUCACAGGAGCUCAUCCAUGCAUCUGAAAUAAAGAGUGCACCAACAGAUCCUGCUGACUUGCCAUGUCCUCUUUUCCAACUUUCAGCGCAGAACUUCUGAAGGAGUGAAACGGUGGGGAACAGCACAUGGUAAGUC